rnacentral:rRNA from 1 species
UACGUAGGGUGCAGGCGUUAAUCGGAAUUACUGGGCGUAAAGCGUGCGCAGGCGGUUUCUUAAGUCAGAUGUGAAAGCCCCGGGCUUAACCUGGGAACUGCGUUUGAAACUGGGAGACUUGAGUGUGGCAGAGGGGGGUGGAAUUCCCGGUGUAGCAGUGAAAUGCGUAGAGAUCGGGAGGAACACCAGUGGCGAAGGCGGCUACCUGGACCAGCACUGACACUGAGGCACGAAAGCGUGGGGAGCAAACAGG